GAUGAACGCUGGCGGCGUGCCUAAUACAUGCAAGUCGAGCGAACGGACGAGAAGCUUGCUUCUCUGAUGUUAGCGGCGGACGGGUGAGUAACACGUGGAUAACCUACCUAUAAGACUGGGAUAACUUCGGGAAACCGGAGCUAAUACCGGAUAAUAUUUUGAACCGCAUGGUUCAAAAGUGAAAGACGGUCUUGCUGUCACUUAUAGAUGGAUCCGCGCUGCAUUAGCUAGUUGGUAAGGUAACGGCUUACCAAGGCAACGAUGCAUAGCCGACCUGAGAGGGUGAUCGGCCACACUGGAACUGAGACACGGUCCAGACUCCUACGGGAGGCAGCAGUAGGGAAUCUUCCGCAAUGGGCGAAAGCCUGACGGAGCAACGCCGCGUGAGUGAUGAAGGUCUUCGGAUCGUAAAACUCUGUUAUUAGGGAAGAACAUAUGUGUAAGUAACUGUGCACAUCUUGACGGUACCUAAUCAGAAAGCCACGGCUAACUACGUGCCAGCAGCCGCGGUAAUACGUAGGUGGCAAGCGUUAUCCGGAAUUAUUGGGCGUAAAGCGCGCGUAGGCGGUUUUUUAAGUCUGAUGUGAAAGCCCACGGCUCAACCGUGGAGGGUCAUUGGAAACUGGAAAACUUGAGUGCAGAAGAGGAAAGUGGAAUUCCAUGUGUAGCGGUGAAAUGCGCAGAGAUAUGGAGGAACACCAGUGGCGAAGGCGACUUUCUGGUCUGUAACUGACGCUGAUGUGCGAAAGCGUGGGGAUCAAACAGGAUUAGAUACCCUGGUAGUCCACGCCGUAAACGAUGAGUGCUAAGUGUUAGGGGGUUUCCGCCCCUUAGUGCUGCAGCUAACGCAUUAAGCACUCCGCCUGGGGAGUACGACCGCAAGGUUGAAACUCAAAGGAAUUGACGGGGACCCGCACAAGCGGUGGAGCAUGUGGUUUAAUUCGAAGCAACGCGAAGAACCUUACCAAAUCUUGACAUCCUUUGACAACUCUAGAGAUAGAGCCUUCCCCUUCGGGGGACAAAGUGACAGGUGGUGCAUGGUUGUCGUCAGCUCGUGUCGUGAGAUGUUGGGUUAAGUCCCGCAACGAGCGCAACCCUUAAGCUUAGUUGCCAUCAUUAAGUUGGGCACUCUAAGUUGACUGCCGGUGCCAAACCGGAGGAAGGUGGGGAUGACGUCAAAUCAUCAUGCCCCUUAUGAUUUGGGCUACACACGUGCUACAAUGGACAAUACAAAGGGCAGCGAAACCGCGAGGUCAAGCAAAUCCCAUAAAGUUGUUCUCAGUUCGGAUUGUAGUCUGCAACUCGACUACAUGAAGCUGGAAUCGCUAGUAAUCGUAGAUCAGCAUGCUACGGUGAAUACGUUCCCGGGUCU
rnacentral:rRNA from 1 species